GAUGAACGCUGGCGGCGUGCCUAAUACAUGCAAGUCGAGCGAACGGACGAGAAGCUUGCUUUUCUGAUGUUAGCAGCGGACGGGUGAGUAACACGUGGAUAACCUACCUAUAAGACUGGGAUAACUUCGGGAAACCGGUGCUAAUACCGGAUAAUAUUUUCAACGGCAUGGUUCAAAAGUGAAUGACGGUUUUGCUGUCACUUAUAGAUGUAUCCGCGUUGCAUUGGUUAGUUGGUAAGGUAACGGCUUACCAAGGCAACGAUGCAUAGCCGACCUGAGAGGGUGAUCGGCCACACUGGAACUGAGACACGGUCCAGACUCCUACGGGAGGCAGCAGUAGGGAAUCUUGCGCAAUGGGCGAAAGCCUGACGAAGCAACGCCGCGUGAGUGAUGAAGGGCUUCGGAUCGUAAAACUCUGUUAUUAGGGAAGAACAUAUGUGUAAGUAACUGUGCACAUCUUGACGGUACCUAAACAGAAAGCCACGGCUAACUACGUG
rnacentral:rRNA from 1 species